UACGAAGGGGGCUAGCGUUGCUCGGAAUCACUGGGCGUAAAGCGCACGUAGGCGGAUUUCUAAGUCGGUGGUGAAAUCCUGGAGCUCAACUCCAGAACUGCCUCCGAUACUGGGAGUCUUCGAGUCCGGGAGAGGUGAGUGGAAUUCCUGGUGUAGCGGUGAAAUGCGCAGAUAUCAGGAGGAACACCGAUGGCGAAGGCAGCUCGCUGGGACGGUACUGACGCUGAGGCGCGAAAGCGUGGGGAGCGAACAGG
rnacentral:rRNA from 1 species